rnacentral:rRNA from 1 species
UACGGAGGGUGCGAGCGUUGGCCGGAAUCAUUGGGCGUAAAGGGCGCGUAGGCGGCUUCUCAAGCGGGCGGUGAAAGUCAGGGGCUCAACCCCUGAUCGGCCGUGCGAACUGGGGGGCUGGAGCACUGUAGAGGCAGGCGGAAUUCCGGGUGUAGCGGUGGAAUGCGUAGAGAUCCGGAAGAACACCGGUGGCGAAGGCGGCCUGCUGGGCAGUGGCUGACGCUGAGGCGCGACAGCGUGGGGAGCAAACAGG